CUCGCCGCCACCUAAAGCGACUGCUGGAGAGGAUCUCUUCUGCUCUGCGUCUUAGUAGUUUGGAACAUCAGCAGAAGCAGCACAACAAAACCGGGAACAAGUGGGGGAAUACAGAGGAGCAGACUGGAGAAUCUGCUAGAUAGCAAACUUACAUUUUUUAAAAAAAAUUCGUUGAAAAAACAGAAGACCUGCGACCCUGUAGCAAACAGUGCUUCUAAAUACUAAACAAAACUAGACAUUCGGCCAGCAAGCGCCCGCUGGAUAUAAACGGAGGAACGGAGGGAGGGCUGGGGAAGGAGGGGGUCACGUGGUGCUGUUUUCUCCCUCUCUUCGUGCAGCAGCCAAACUGCACAAUCCAGACAAGAACUCUUACAUAGAAUGCUGGUAAAGCUUACAUUCCAAAUCGGAAUGCUGGAACACGUCUGCAGGCGGUCUGGUUGGCUUUUCACAGGUAAAGAAGCUCUUGCCACUGCUUAUCUCCAUACAAAGUUCUACUUGUUUUAAAUUUUUUAUGGAUUGGUCCAUUCAAAGCACAGAGUAAUGACUUCCACAAUCAACAGAGAUGCUAUUUUUGUAUGAAUUCUGUGAGAAUGCUUACUCUAGCUUAGAAGAUGGAUUUCUUCCUUGUACAGUUAAUACAUUAAUGUACAAAUACUAUUGCUGAAAGCAUAUUCCACAUGAAGAAACCUAUACGAGCUGAGAUUUCUUAUGCUGUUAUUCUACUGCACAACAGUCUUCAUACUGUAGAGGGCAUUCUUGAGUUAUUGUAAACAUUGUGAAAGAAUCCUGCUUUCAUUUAAAAAAAACCUACAUGUCAUCAAAAAGGCCUUAUUAUUCAACUGUAAAUGCAAAAAAACUUGAGCUUGAUACAUUUCAUUUACAUAUUUUACAACUGUAGAAUAUGACCAUCAUAAUAUUCCAAUAUUAAAUGUUAACCUUCCAAAUAGGAUUUCUGCCACUGAAGUACUUUAAUGUGUUGAACUGUUAUGGUUUGACAGAUGGCAUUUAAUUUUUGAAGUGCUGGCAUAUUGAAAUGGAUUGACAAAUUUCCAUGCAUGCAAAGAUUCAACAGAAA